CAAUCAUAAAAGGUGGCUUUUAGCUACCACUUACAGAUGGACCCGCGGCGCAUUAGCUAGUUGGUGAGGUAACGGCUCACCAAGGCGACGAUGCGUAGCCGACCUGAGAGGGUGAUCGGCCACACUGGGACUGAGACACGGCCCAGACUCCUACGGGAGGCAGCAGUAGGGAAUCUUCCGCAAUGGACGAAAGUCUGACGGAGCAACGCCGCGUGAGUGAUGAAGGUUUUCGGAUCGUAAAACUCUGUUGUUAGGGAAGAACAAGUACCGUUCGAAUAGGGCGGUACCUUGACGGUACCUAACCAGAAAGCCACGGCUAACUACGUGCCAGCAGCCGCGGUAAUACGUAGGUGGCAAGCGUUGUCCGGAAUUAUUGGGCGUAAAGCGCGCGCAGGCGGUUUCUUAAGUCUGAUGUGAAAGCCCCCGGCUCAACCGGGGAGGGUCAUUGGAAACUGGGGAACUUGAGUGCAGAAGAGGAGAGUGGAAUUCCACGUGUAGCGGUGAAAUGCGUAGAGAUGUGGAGGAACACCAGUGGCGAAGGCGACUCUCUGGUCUGUAACUGACGCUGAGGCGCGAAAGCGUGGGGAGCGAACAGGAUUAGAUACCCUGGUAGUCCACGCCGUAAACGAUGAGUGCUAAGUGUUAGAGGGUUUCCGCCCUUUAGUGCUGCAGCAAACGCAUUAAGCACUCCGCCUGGGGAGUACGGUCGCAAGACUGAAACUCAAAGGAAUUGACGGGGGCCCGCACAAGCGGUGGAGCAUGUGGUUUAAUUCGAAGCAACGCGAAGAACCUUACCAGGUCUUGACAUCCUCUGACAACCCUAGAGAUAGGGCUUCCCCUUCGGGGGCAGAGUGACAGGUGGUGCAUGGUUGUCGUCAGCUCGUGUCGUGAGAUGUUGGGUUAAGUCCCGCAACGAGCGCAACCCUUGAUCUUAGUUGCCAGCAUUCAGUUGGGCACUCUAAGGUGACUGCCGGUGACAAACCGGAGGAAGGUGGGGAUGACGUCAAAUCAUCAUGCCCCUUAUGACCUGGGCUACACACGUGCUACAAUGGGCAGAACAAAGGGCAGCGAAGCCGCGAGGCUAAGCCAAUCCCACAAAUCUGUUCUCAGUUCGGAUCGCAGUCUGCAACUCGACUGCGUGAAGCUGGAAUCGCUAGUAAUCGCNGGAUCAGCAUGCCGCGGUGAAUACNUUCCCGGGGC
rnacentral:rRNA from 1 species